rnacentral:rRNA from 1 species
UGGCGGCUGUAGCGCGGUGGUCCCACCUGACCCCAUGGCCGAACUCAGAAGUGAAACGUCGUAGCGCCGAUGGUAGUGUGGGGUCUCCCCAUGCGAGAGUAGGGAACUGCCAGACA